GGGAUUAUAGUAUAGUGGUCAGUAUAUCUCAUUGUGGUCAUAUAACUCCGGACUCUGAGACGACGCAGGUUCGAUUCCUGCUAAUCCCA